UACAGAGGUCUCAAGCGUUGUUCGGAUUCAUUGGGCGUAAAGGGUGCGUAGGCGGUGGGGCAAGUCAGGUGUGAAAUCCCGGGGCUCAACCCCGGAACUGCACUUGAUACUGCUUUACUAGAGUACUGGAGAGGAGACUGGAAUUUACGGUGUAGCAGUGAAAUGCGUAGAUAUCGUAAGGAAGACCAGUGGCGAAGGCGAGUCUCUGGACAGUUACUGACGCUGAGGCACGAAGGCCAGGGGAGCAAACGGG
rnacentral:rRNA from 1 species